rnacentral:rRNA from 1 species
UACGUAGGUGGCGAGCGUUGUCCGGAAUUACUGGGUGUAAAGGGCGUGUAGCCGGGCUGACAAGUCAGAUGUGAAAUCCGGGGGCUCAACCCCCGAACUGCAUUUGAAACUGUUGGUCUUGAGUAUCGGAGAGGCAGGCGGAAUUCCUAGUGUAGCGGUGAAAUGCGUAGAUAUUAGGAGGAACACCAGUGGCGAAGGCGGCCAACUGGGCUUUAACUGACGCUGAGGCUCGAAAGUGUGGGGAGCAAACAGG